rnacentral:misc_RNA from 1 species
GGGACCAUCUUUUCCAGUUGUUAGGGACUUCCUUUUUUCCAAGAUGGAAGGAAAAGCAUCAGGUUCGACUUUCUGUAUCAAGAAGUGGACUUACUCUACACAUGCCUCCGCCUUAUUCAACCGUCGUUCAGGAGUCUGAAAAUGGUAGUUGGCAUGUGCCAACAAUUACAGGCGAUGAUCUUGAAACACCAAGGCAGUGGUUGUGUGCCACCAGGGCAAGGAAUAAAAUACAUCCAUUCUAAAUUGGCAGUUUUAGUCGCUCAAAUGGCAGUGUGGAUGCAUUGGGGACAUGGAUUGAGAGAUUUUAGUAAUUAGAGUAUAAUCUAUAUUUUGAAACAUUUGGCAUAAAAUACAAAAUAAGUAGUGG